UCGAAGAAGAAACCCUAGCUCUAGUGCCGGAGGCCCUCCUCUUCCCUUGCUUUCCUUAAUAUUUUUUUUUGCUUCUCCCUCGAUGCUUUCUUCCCGGCCGAUAUGCGGAUGACUCUGGUUUGGUCGAGUUAAGCUGGAAACUCGCAUCGUGUGGGUGAUGGUCUAGCUCAAGCUUGCCUUGGAGGAGUGGCGAGGCUAGUGGAACGGUGGAAGAGGAAGAAGUCGGCUUUUAGGGUUCUGCUGAGCCAGAUCUAGUUUUCUCUUUUUAGAUCUCUGGCGAACCAAGCUCAGUAUCGGCGCGUUGUCUGGCAAGACGACUCCUCCACCCUAGAUCUUUGCUCCAACGAGGCGGUGAGGCAAUCAGAGGAGAGGACCGAUAACUUGUGUAUAGAGGUUUGUCUUCUGGUUCUCAGAAACAACACGUACCAAAGGAGACGACGAUGGAGUGGUCAACCGGAGAAGUCAACCUGCGGCGGUUCAUGGUGGAGGUCUACAUCCCAGCACCGGAAAGUGCUUUAUGUUCUCUGCCGCCGUCGGACAUCGUUGUCAGGUUUGAGGCUGAAGAACAGAGAGCUGAAAGCUGGUGGUGACGAAGCUGUUUUGGGUCUGCACCUUUGGUGUUGUUGCUCUUGGGCCAAGAACAUCACUCCUAUCAUUAGGUCCCAAAAGCUUAGAGCUUUAAUGACUUCCAGAAUAGGUUUUGUCAGUACCGUUAGUAAGUGAUUCUGCGCUAGAGGUCUAAUUUAAGUGGUUUAAGAAUCAAAUCUUUCUGAUUGUAGGAGGAGUUUGUGUUCAAUGGGAUGAAAGUUACAACAUAGACAUAGAUUAGGUAGCGUUUGGUUCAAGUAGGGAUCUUAGGUGUUACUAAAUCUCUAUGUUGUAAGUUUGGUUCAAAUACUCUUGUGGUGGAAAAUCUUGUAUCCCUUCUUGGUAAUAUGAAGUUGAUGUUGAGUAAAAGUA